AAAUUGAGUUAUUGCUUUCUGCUCACCUUUCCUCUUCCUUCCUCUGGAGCAGCCCUUGGGUGCUCGAUCUAGAUCCCCUCCCCUGGGCCCUGAUGCUCGAAAUCGUUCGACUUCAUAGACCAUUCGAGUCGAGUAGAGUGAUGAACUCGCAUACGACUUGGUGUGUUCGACAUUUGCUAUGCUCGAGGUGCUACUUGUCGCAUGCGACUUACACAAAAGUCUUCGAGACGGAGAAGUCGAGUGGAUUGUGGGAAUUCGGAGAGAACUGUGAAUUUGUCAGGAUGGCUACUCUGCUCGUGUUCCAACUGGCCAAUCAACGAUCGCCGUUUCGUUUGUUGUCGUGUUUGGUAGGAAGAAGACAAACUCUUUAUCAAAACAUUUUUUUUAUUUUGCCGUGUGUUCGUGAAUGCCUAAUUAAUUAAAAUGGUCGAUUAGGUCAGGUCAGUUACAUUAUAAAUACUUUCAAACUAAACGGACAUUAAAAAUAAUAUGAAUUAAUUUUAAUGGUUGUUCAGUUUUAAAGUAUUUAUGAUGUAGCUGACCUGACCUAACAAACCAGGAAAAAGGCUGAACAGUAGGAACUCACGUAAUUUUUUUUUUUUACUUAUUACUUGCGCAACAAUAUCAAAAUAACAAAUAAAACAUUAAAAUUUGAAACGUUAAAAACUCGCCUAAGUUAGAGGCGGGUACAAUUCCUUUGCCAUUAGUAGAAAAUGAUGUAGUCGUUCACAUACGUCGCGAAAAAAAAAAAAUUCAUACUCGUAAACAAGCAACAAAUAUGAACGCCCCAUGAAAGCACAGGUAUUGUGAUGAAAAAUAAAAAUUCGAUAUCUCCUAAAGUAUUUGGAAUUUCUUAUCUCUGCCGUGUUUAAUGAAAAGAGGAAGUUAAAGAGCACAGAAUAAAAGUAUUUUCGGAAUUUAAUUUUUUUUAAACAAAUAUCGCCCAAAUAUGAAUAUUAAAAAAUUCGAUAUCUCCUAAAGUAUUUGGAAUUUCUUAUCUUCGCCGUGUUUAAUGAAAAGAGGAAGUUAAAGAGCACAGAAUAAAAGUAUUUUCGGAAUUUAAUUUUUUUUAAACAAAUAUCGGUAAAUCUGUUUUGUACGGAUUAGCGCCAAAAAAAAUCGUACAAAUAUGAAAUAACUUUCAUUAUAUGCUAUCUUACGUCCUCUUUUCAGAACCGCCUGCGGAGAUAAAAAAUUCCAAUUACUUUUGGAGAUAUCGAAAUUUUUAAUAUUCAUUUUUUGGCGAUUUUUUUAAAAAAAAAAUUUAAAAAUCCGAAAAUACCUUUAUUCUGUGCUCUUUAACUUCCUCUUUUCAUUAAACCCGGCGGAGAUCAGAAAUUCCAAAUACUUUAGGAGAUAUUGAAUUUUUUAAUUUCCUUUUGUGCACUGCUGCGGCGUUGAGCGGGAAGCCUACGAUUCACACAUCUUUCUGGACAUACCCGAAUACUCACGUUGGCAAGCCUUCUUUUCUUAAAAUUAGCAAGAAGUAAUUAAAAAUACUUUAAAACAUUGUAGAUGGUUGGUUAUAUUAGGUAAGUAAGUGUUAGCACCUUAUAAAAACCAAAGAAGCCCUAUUGUUAUCUUUAUGUGCUUGCUUAUGUGUAGUUUCGGUGACAAAACAAGAUGGAUCGUUAGCUGUCAGAGUGCAAUGUUAUGCAGAAGACAGUUAGGCCUGUAGUACAUUUUUAAUAUAAUUAUUGACUGAAGUCAAACACUAAAGCACUAUUAACACAGAAUGGCAGUUUAUCCCUCCUUGGAGCACACCUGAAUUAAGUUACCAGUUACAAUAAAUAGCUAAUCAAAGAUAAACUUAAGUAAACCCCCUGUUUAAGCAUUAUACAGGUUUAAAUAGGUAGGCCUAAUGUAGUUAUGUUAAAAUGCUUGGUUUGUUCCUGUGACAGUGGUAAUAGCCUGGCAUAUUUAGUUCCAAGUGAACAUCUAUGUCUUGUGUGUAUCCACAUUAAAAUUAGCCUAUGUAGCCUGCUCCCUAACGCCAAACUGAACAUUAAUGGUUAGGCCUACAUGUUCAAUACUGUAAACACAACACUAGUUAGGGCUACCUAGUCUUAAUUUUAAGUGUGGUAUUUUCUAGAGUACUUUCACUGUUUGAAAUGGCUAAACAAAUUUUAAAAACAUGCUUAAGGUUAUUCAUUGGAGACUUGGUAAUGUUACAUGUGUCACAUGGCCUAACUGCUGUCCUUAAUGUAAUUUUAAUAUCAGUUGUGGGUUGAAUAUAAAAUGUCGAACUAUUUUACCUGAAAGAUUAAACACUAAGAUAACUUUUUAAUCUGACAGUGUUAAUAGGCACAUGCCUAAGCCUACAUAACACGGACUUGUGAAAACCUAUAUUUUAGGUACUCAGUACAUUGCGAUUUUAUGCUGGUGGACCAUACCAAUCAAAUGUUGGACAGGAUGUGUACACUGCUAUGCACCAGUCAUCAGUUAGUAGAAGCAUCUCGGAGGUCACAAAUGCCAUCAACCAGCAUCUGUUUCGCAGAUGGGUCAGAUUUGACUUAAAUCCAGCAUCAACAGCAGCAUUAAAAGAGAUGUUUUUCAGAAAGUAUGGCUUCCCAGGGGUUAUCGGUGCUAUUGAUGGUACCCAUGUGGCAAUUGUUGCACCGCCAGUGGAUGACCCUGUCUUUAAUGAAAGAGCAUACUUCAAUUAUAAAUGAUAUCAUUCAAUAAAUGUACAACUGGUGUGUGAUGCAAACAUGAAAAUAUUAAAUGUAAAUUCAAGAUACCCAGGGGCAACAAAUGAUUCCUUCAUUUAUGCCAACUCCAGUCUCAGACAGGGACUACAUGAAAUGUUGCGACAGAACCAAAAUGCUUGGCUGUUAGGUGAUAGCGGAUACCCCCUGGAACCUUGCCUGAUGACGCCGUUCAUGCAGGAUGUUGAUCCUCUGUCUCCACAAGGGCGGUACAACCAGUGCUUGCGCACAGCCAGGAGUAUAAUUGAGCAAUGUAAUGGCUUGCUGAAAUCACGUUGGAGAUGCCUGCUGAAACACCGUGUGCUACACUACAAGCCCGACCAAGCCAGCAGAAUAGUUAAUGCAUGUACUGUACUACAUAACAUGUGCCUGCAGGGAAAUGUGCAGCUUCCAGAUGAAUUGUUGGUUCAUCCUCAAGAUUUGGGGAUGGAUGCAAUGAAUGAAGUUGGUGUUGUUAACCAGAACUUUCGAGCUGGUCAGUUGAUAAGGCAACGUAUUAUUGAUAAUUAUUUCAUGUAGACCAAGUUGUUUGUAUAGCUAUGGUGAAACAUACCCAAUAUCCGCCCCCACCCAAAUAUUGAUGGUUUGAAAUAAAACGUGAAAAAUAGCAGUGUAACAGAUUUGCUAAGAAGUGACGGUUUUACGCUUACGAUUUCAUAUUUAUUUAAUGCUUUGAAAAUGUAAUGUGUGACACGUGACCUGCAGAGUAUAUGAUUUGUGCAAUUUAUUACGUUUUAAUUUAUUUAUGAUCUCACCGGAAUUCGGUAUGAUUUCAAUGUAUGUACAGUAUUUAAAUCACUUAAAACUCAAUUUAAACAUGGUAUUUGUAUGUUAAGUGUUUUUAAUUAUAUGUUAAAAUUUUG